rnacentral:rRNA from 1 species
AUGGAAUACGUAUUCUUUGGCGGGCCAAUCUUGAGCACCACUGGCAUAAACGCAGAAAGGAAUGAGGUGGGCAAAAGAGUGCGCCCUGAGGGAAGGAGAGAUUCCAACUCCCACCAGCGGGACAUCCGUGGCGAGAAGGCUGGACAUGCUCCUUCUUGUUCGAGCCUAGGAAUUACUAGAAGAAACUUCUUUGUUGGCAAGUGA